CCCUUUGUGAACAUACAUACCUAUAACUGUUGCUUCGGCGGGUAGGGUCUCCGUGACCCUCCCGGCCUCCCGCCCCCGGGCGGGUCGGCGCCCGCCGGAGGAUAACCAAACUCUGAUUUAACGACGUUUCUUCUGAGUGGUACAAGCAAAUAAUCAAAACUUUUAACAACGGAUCUCUUGGUUCUGGCAUCGAUGAAGAACGCAGCGAAAUGCGAUAAGUAAUGUGAAUUGCAGAAUUCAGUGAAUCAUCGAAUCUUUGAACGCACAUUGCGCCCGCCAGCAUUCUGGCGGGCAUGCCUGUUCGAGCGUCAUUUCAACCCUCAAGCUCUGCUUGGUGUUGGGGCCCUACAGCUGAUGUAGGCCCUCAAAGGUAGUGGCGGACCCUCCCGGAGCCUCCUUUGCGUAGUAACUUUACGUCUCGCACUGGGAUCCGGAGGGACUCUUGCCGUAAAACCCCCAAUUUUCCAAAGGUUGACCUCGGAUCAGGUAGGAAUACCCGCUGAACUUAAGCAUAUCAAUAGCCGGGAGGAA
rnacentral:rRNA from 1 species